GUGAUCCUGGAGACUCAACAGUUGAAGGCUGAAGGCAUGGAAUGGGAUACGCAGAAGGCUUGAAACCAGGAAGCUGUGCCGAUGUGCGCCUGCGAAGAGAUUUGAGUUUUGGUUUCCAAGUUGGAUUCUUUUUGUUUUUAGGUAGAGCUGGAAAGGUUUGGAUGGACUCACUGACCUGCUCUCAGUCCUUUGGAAAGUCUUCUUACAGCAUUAGAAUCUUGGCGACAUUAUGGAAAUUACUUUUUCAUGACCGGCUGGCUUUUUUUAAUAAAUAUGUUUUAUUCUCUGGUUAAGAGCUGAUACGGUAGCUUAUGAUGUGAAUAGUUGAACAACAGAAAAUUGAUUGGCAACUCUCUUGAUAAUCAUUUAAUCCAUUAAGUAAUUUUAUCAAACAGAAAUGCCAAAGAUUUGCUGCUUUCACCAAGGACUAUAAAUUGAAGUAGAUAUUAGUUUGGACAGUAUAGUUUUUAUAUUUCAUUUUACAACAAGAUAUCUAAUGGAAUAACUAAAAUGUAUUUUUUGUGUUUCUUAUUUUUGUUAUCCCACUCAAGGUAAACGGAAGUGUAAGAGGAGAAGUAACGCAUUGUGUAGAUUAAUAUUGUCUCCUCACUUGUUUGUGACUAUUUUUGUUCAAACACUUUUACAUUAUUGCAGCUGAAUGUUUUACAUCUGCUUAUCUCUGUUAGCUUCCUGUCCUUUAUCUUUAUGUCUAUCAUUAAAGCACAUUGAGAGGCACUGGAAACCUGAGUCACAUCCAUGUGUGUCCAAACAUUCUUGGCAAAUUUAGUUGAUUCCUAGAAACCUAGUUAAUUUAAUUUAGUUUUUCUAACUUUAAUUUGUCAUGCUUUAUUUUCUGUUUAGAAUCUACUUAAAAUGUGUUUUUUAAAUUUCCCUUUUUGCUCUCAAAGGGAGAUUGUGUACCAAAAAGUUCCUUUAAUUUUCAAAACCACAUUGUAAUAUCCCUGACCUGUUUUGACCUGUGAACAGCCUCAGAUCAGGAGAAUCACUAUCAAAUUACAUCUUAAAACAGUCUUUGCUUUUGAUUUCAGCGGGUUUUCUGUAACUUUUACCUGUGUGAACUGUGACUUGAAUAUACUGCACAUUGUCAGUUAAUGUCAUGUCCAAUAAAUUUAAUGUGGAGUAAA